rnacentral:lncRNA from 1 species
UCUUGGCCUUCACAAAGAAAUGGGAGAUUCACAUGGGGGUCGUCCAGGAGCUGCGGCAGAGGUCGAGGGGCCUGCAAGGCUGGAGGGUCAAGCUGCGAGGGUCUGUGUCCCCUCCAUGGAGCCAGGGUUCUGGGUUAGGGGAGGAGGAAAUAAAGCUACAUCCAGAUGCCACCUCUACCCACUCUCCACACCCUUCUUAUACUUGGCUGAUUCUUCUGAUCUUCUGAGAGCCCCGGAGAGAAAACACACUACCUUGAGGUUCAUCAGGGGAAGGAAGAGCUUGAGGGGACAGUGGAGAAGCAGGAGGGGAGUCCCCUGAAGACAGAGGUGCUGUCUGUCCUGUGCCUAGAACAGGGCCCAGCUCAGAAGAGCUGUGACUCACUGUGCUGGCACUGGCUUCUGACGG